rnacentral:rRNA from 1 species
UACAUGAAGCUGGAAUCGCUAGUAAUCGCGAAUCAGAAUGUCGCGGNGAAUACGUUCCCGGGUCUUGUACACACCGCCCGUCACGCCAUGGGAGAUGGAUAUGCCCAAAGUCAGUGACCUAACCGCAAGGGAGGAGCUGCCUAAGGUGGAGCCAUUAACUGGGGUGAAGUCGUAACAAGGUACC